GACGAACGCUGGCGGCGUGCCUAAUACAUGCAAGUAGAACGCACAGUUUAUACCGUAGCUUGCUACACCAUAAACUGUGAGUUGCGAACGGGUGAGUAACGCGUAGGUAACCUGCCUGGUAGCGGGGGAUAACUAUUGGAAACGAUAGCUAAUACCGCAUAAUAUUGAUUAUUGCAUGAUAAUUGAUUGAAAGAUGCUAUUGCAUCACUACCAGAUGGACCUGCGUUGUAUUAGCUAGUAGGUGAGGUAACGGCUCACCUAGGCGACGAUACAUAGCCGACCUGAGAAGGUGAUCGGCCACACUGGGACUGAGACACGGCCCAGACUCCUACGGGAGGCAGCAGUAGGGAAUCUUCGGCAAUGGACGAAAGUCUGACCGAGCAACGCCGCGUGAGUGAAGAAGGUUUUCGGAUCGUAAAGCUCUGUUGUAAGAGAAGAACGGGUGUGAGAGUGGAAAGUUCACACUGUGACGGUAUCUUACCAGAAAGGGACGGCUAACUACGUG
rnacentral:rRNA from 1 species